AACCUUGUCGUCAUCGACAUCAAGCCAGCUACUCUUCGAUAAAAGCACGACGAUCGACGAAGCACUCUGCAGCAGUCAUACGCUGUGCUAAUACUCUAUCGGUACCUUUCUAGAAAAAUAAAGAACAUCGUGAAGAGGGCCCACUCAAACAUAUACACCUGCCUUGAAGUCCUCAGGAGGGUGGAGUCUACCCAGAGGAUGUCUGUCCGACAGGCAUUGGCGGGCUCGCAGCGGAGACACAGGUGAAAGAAAUGGGAAACCAAGGAUUGUGCCAUCGCUGAUCUUGAACGACAGUAUGCGGAAAACGGAAUUUCGCUGACUCGAUUCCUCCCACAAAAAUUUUGUGGGCUCUGAAAGACAUUUUCCUUUAGAUCCUCCUCAGAUUCUGAGUAGCAAUAUAGCAAGCAGGAAGAUUGUUUUGUAGGGUAGAUGUAACAGGUGUUCAAUAACUACACUUUUUAAAUUUU